AAAGUCGUAACAAGGUCUCCGUUGGUGAGCCAGCGGAGGGAUCAUUAAUGAGUUGCAAAACUCCAACCAUCGCGAAUAUCACCCAUUGCAGUUGCUUCGGCGGGUGGCCCUGAGAGGGGUCACGCUCUUCCUAUGGGGAGCAUGCCCGCCGGAGUCGUACAAACUCUUGUAUUUUUGGCAUCUCUGAGUAACUUUUACAAUAAGUUAAAACUUUCAACAACGGAUCUCUUGGUUCUG
rnacentral:misc_RNA from 1 species